CGUAUGUACAUAGAAAACGAUUGGCGAUAUACCCCAAAAUAUUUAAAGUAGUUAACAGUGUUAACUUAAAACUAAUUGUUACGGCACCGCUCGUGCAGCUAACAUAUCUUGUGGACUUAUCCAGAUCCUUACCAGAUUCAUACAUAUAAUAAAACCUGAAACGCCGCGUCGCCGUCGCCGCCGUCGCAUGACGUGACGCGCGCCAUCUAUGGGAAGUUCAUAAUCGAAGACUGGCACAAUUUUGGGUACGACUACGGACUAACGGCCGCCGCCUGGUAUGACGAAUUCCUCAAGUUCUGGCCCAAGGUGGAGAAAAAAUUUGGGAUCGAGUUCUUCAAAAAUUGGACGAUUUUAAUGAAAGCCGGAGAAGCCGGGUAUUGCACCAGGACGGUUUAACUGUGGCAAAUUGUCUGGUCCAAAGAGAGGAAAAGUCUGGUUGAUCGACGGGGUUAUUGAACUCCGCAAAAUAACCGCCAUGGAAGACCCCGUGGUCAAACUCUUUAAAUGUGGCGGGUGCGGGAAAACUUUUUUCAAAAGGGAAAAAGCCAUGAGACAUAUUCUCGAAACGAGGCAUGGUGCUGACCAAUAAGUUGGAAAACGAAUAUUUGCAAUUUUUCUUUUUCAUCAUAAUUAAUCUCGUGCUCAUACAUCCAAAUAAAAACAAGUUACGAAUAAUAA